GAUGAACGCUAGCGGCAGGCCUAACACAUGCAAGUCGAGGGGCAGCACAUAAAGUGGUUUACUACUUCUGGUGGCGACCGGCGGACGGGUGCGUAACGCGUAUGCAACCUGCCUCCAACAGGGGGAUAACGGAGAGAAAUUUCCAAUAAUACCCCAUAAUAUCAGAAUCGGCAUCGGUUUUGGUUGAAAACUCCGGGGGUUGGAGAUGGGCAUGCGUUGUAUUAGAUAGUUGGUGAGGUAACGGCUCACCAAGUCAACGAUACAUAGGGGGACUGAGAGGUUAGCCCCCCACACUGGUACUGAGACACGGACCAGACGCCUACGGGAGGCAGCAGUGAGGAAUAUUGGUCAAUGGGGGCAACCCUGAACCAGCCAUGCCGCGUGCAGGAAGACGGCUCUAUGAGUUGUAAACUGCUUUUACAAGGGGAUAAAUCGGUGUACGUGUACACCGUUGAAGGUACCUUGGGAAUAAGGAUCGGCUAACUCCGUGCCAGCCGCCGCCGUAA
rnacentral:rRNA from 1 species